GCCUUCGUGGUGUAGUGGUCAGCACGCUCGACUCGAAUUCGAGAGGUCCGCGGUUUGAGUCCUGGCGAGGGCA
rnacentral:tRNA from 1 species